rnacentral:lncRNA from 1 species
UUGAAUUGCAUUCACAACUUAUUAAAUCACAAUUGGAAGAAAUCAAUUCAUAUCUCAAACAUGUUCAUGGCUUCGAACUUCACCCUAGCUAAGUAAGGGUUUAGUUCCUCAUACUUGCAAUUAAACAAAAACAAUUGAUAUUAAACAUAGAGAAACAAAGUAGAAGACACCUAGAAUGCUCCAACAACUCCAAUGGAAUGGCUAGCACAACUCCAAGCACUCCUCCUUCUUUGCAAGCCUUGGAACUAAUGGAAAUGUGUAUGAAUGGCUGUGUGUCAUCCUUGAAGGCUGAAUGGUGCUUAUAUAGAGGUUGGAAAUGUCAAGCAAUUGCAAGGUAAUGGACAAGGGAAAAAAAACCCACGGCAAUGAAGGAAGAUGCUGCCAGCUUUUUGCCUUGUGUGUGUGUGCUGUCUUUGUGCUCUUUCCACCUAGAAAUAAUCAUGCCAAAGCCACCCAAAGCUAUAAGUGGGAGACCAACAAGAAAUCCACUUCAUAGUGGUCCAAUUUCCUUGCUUUUCUGCUGUCCAUUCACUCCCCUUGUUUUAUUUCUUUUCUUUUGUUUGCUUUCAAUUCCAAUCUGCAAGUUGUCGUCAGCUAGACCUUCCCUUACUCAAAUGCCUAUAACUUUCUUCUAGAAAAAUGAUAUUAACAAUCCGCGAAAUGUUCUAGAAAAUAGACAUCUGUAGCUUUCCAAGCAUAUAAGGCUCAUUCUCUAAUUCAUUCUGAGCUGUUCGCAAUUUGCUCCCAAAGUCAGCUGAUCAAAGUUGUAGAAAUCUGCCAACUCCAUUCCAUUGCCGUGUGUGUGUGUGUUUGUGUUGUCAUCAUCACUUCCCACUCUUCCAUGCUUUAAUUUCUGAUUCCUUGCUGCCCAUGUGGUGUGUGUGUUGCUGUUUUCUUUCCUUCUUGCUGCCCAUGUGGUGUUUAUACUUGCACAUGCAUGUUCUUCAUCCAUUUAGCUAGCAAUAAACACAUUUUCUGCCAUCACAUGGCAGCUAUGAUGUUUGAAGUUGUAGGCCAACACUUUGCACACACACAUGUAGAUUUCUAGCCCAUUGAAUCAUCAAAUUCGUCCAUCCUCAUGUCUCCAUGUUUGCACCAUCCAAUCUUGGCCCAAAAAUGCUCCAAAGUGCUCCAAAAUGCAUCUUCUUGCAUCCUUGGCCCAUAGAACCUACAAACACACAAAAAUGGCUUAAACUACUAACAUAACUAAGAACUAAGAACAUAAAUGCACGAAAACAAACAUACUAAGUCGCAUAAAUAUGCUCCUAUCAAAUUCCCCCACACUUAGCUUUUGCUUGUCCUCGAGCAAAACAAAGAAACAAAACAUAAGAACAAAACAAAAACCUAAACCUUCCAACAUUUACCUUAGGGAUUUUCAAUGCAACAUGACAUGCAAAAGAUCAUCAUAACCACAUAUUUUGGCCUUCCCUACCCUUGAGCACAUACUUAAUCAUAGUCACCAUAUACUAGUUCACAUAUAACCAAUUAAAACGAUGUUUUGAAUGUAGUAACAUGCCUUAGAGAAUUUGCUCAAUUCCUUACAAGAUACACUCUUAUUUUCACUCUGAAUUUCUGACUACACACCCUACACUAGGUGUAUGUGAGAAGAUUGAUGUAAACAUGAAAAACGAACACUCACAUAUGUUUAAAGCAAAGAAAGCAAUUUCUGGAGUUAUUAAGCAUGUAUAGAUAUGAUCUCAUGACUGGAAUGCUACUACUUAGAUGCGAGAACCAGGGAUACCAUAUGCUCGUACCAAUCCCAAACUCCACAUAUUGAAACACAUAACACUCAAGAUUGAAGUUAAGGGUUGUAACGGGGUUAGGGGUGAUUGGCUAACAAUGAAAGGUAAGGAAACAAACGUUUUUUAAAGCAUAAUAAGCAAAGUAAUGAAAUUGAUGCUUAGAAUUCCUUUUGAAUGCAGCAACUAACUUUAAACACAAUGGGGUUAUUCAUUCAACUUUUUAGGGCCGAUUUCAACUUUUUGGACCCUUUCUACAACAAACAACACUUGUGAGCCUUUCCUCACUUAUUUCAAACUCUUUUUUUUUUUUUUUUUUUUUUUUUUAACCCGUGCCUUAUUACUUUCUUUUGGCACACUAAACACAAAACUCUCAUUCCCCCACACUUGUUUUCUGCAUAAGGACAAUCAAAAGGAAUUCAUUUUAAGUCAUGCUUCAUUAUGCUUUAAAAACAAGGGUAAGGAUAGUCCUAAUCUAGGCUAGGUAAGGGAAAUGUGGUUUAACAAAGAAAACAGGCUAAACAAGGCUCAACGGGGGUUAAACUUAAACAAAUAUGCACGGGAUAAGCUUUUUGGCUCUAGUUCACUACAGAACUUCAUCUUGAAUAUGUGUUAUGCAAAUCAAUGUCAUGCUUUGAAUGGAACGGGCAUAAGUUCUAGUAUUUGGAACUAAAUGAUGAAACGCCUUCUAAGUAGCAACCAGGCAAAAGAAUGAUGAGAUCAUGCAACGACUUUAGAAAACAAAAAUGCACAGAUUAAUAACUCUCCAAAGAACGUAUUAGGCUCAAGUCUCUCAAGGUUGUAGUGUUAGUUUGAGUUCCUUCCUUCAAGCAUGUUACAAAAACUGAUUUUUUUUUUUUUUUUUUUUUUUUUUUUGUGAUUACAUGUGAAUUCGUAAACUAUAACUAUAACCAAGCAUAAAUCAAGAGCAUAUCAAACUUCCAUCCAUGUUUAUAACUUUCUUUAACAGUCAUGCAAUUAAAAACCAAAUCCUCAUUAUUUGUGUUGGAAGGUACCCUAAGACAUAAACAAACACACAAAAACAACUCUUUUUGGCUUUUUCAAAACAAUUUUUUUUAUUUUUUUAUUUUUUUUUAUUUUUUUUUAUUUUUUUUUUAUUUUUGUCAAAUUUUCGGAUUUUUAUGUCAAAACAUACUAACAUGCUUAAAAACACACUAAAAACACUUAAAACAGCAAGAAACAACAUUGUAAGUGAUAGGUGAAUAAAAUCCCACGAAAAUCAUGCAACAGCAACUUGUUUACCCCCCCCACACUUAAAUCUAACAUUGUCCUCAAUGUUUCAAACAUAAACUCACAAAAAAGCAAACAAACAAACAACGAGGAAACAUGAUAAACAUGGCAAAGUAAAAGCAACAGAGAGGAGGGUUAAAGAACGCAAACACCUGGUUUUGGAGUCGGAAAUUCCUAGGUCUUCUCUAUUUCCAUGGGUUGCCUCCCAAGAAGCGCUUUCUUUAACGUCGUGCAGCCGGACGUCUAUCAUUCAUCAAUGAUCUUUGGUGCCCACGGCAUGGAGGGAUAGAUCCUCCACCACAUGCUCCUCAAACAGGUCGUAAUAGGGCUUCAAUCGAUGCCCAUUAACCUUGAUUUCAUGUCCUGUUUUUCAAGCUUUGGACUUGGACUGCACCAUGAGGAAAGACAUUAGUAACAAUAAAUGGCCCAAUCCACUUGGAACGUAACUUACCGGGGAAUAACCGAAGGCGAGAGUCAAAUAGGAGCACUUUCUGUCCCUUGGAGAAUGUUUUGGUACGAAGCAUCUUGUCAUGAUACGCCUUGGUCUUGUCCUUGUAAAUUCGAGCGUUCUCAUAAGCGUCAUGUCUAAUCUCCUCGAGUUCAUUUAGUUGGAGCUUUCUAUGCACCCCGGCUGCAUCUAUGUCCAUGUUGAAGGUCUUCACAGCCCAAUGCGCCCUAUGUUCCAAUUCAACAGGCAAAUGACAUGGUUUACCAUAAAUGAGACGAAAAGGUGACAUACCUAGAGGGGUUUUGUAGGCCGUACGAUAGGCCCACAAUGCAUCGUCCAAGCGCGCAAACUCCAAUCUCUCCUUGAAGGCCCCACGGUUUUCUCAAGAAUUUGCUUGAUCUCCCGAUUUGAAACUUCCGCUUGCCCAUUGGUUUGAGGAUGAUAAGGGGUGGAUACCUUAUGCGUCACUUUGUACUUCUUGAGCAAAGCUUCAAUGGUUCGAUUACAAAAGUGAGAGCCUCCAUCACUAAUGAGAACUCUAGGCAUGCCAAACCUAGCAAAGAUAUUAGUUUUCACAAAAUCUGCAACAACCUUUGAAUCGUUAGUUCGGGUGGCUUUGGCUUCCACCCAUUUGGAAACAUAAUCAACAGCUAGCAAGAUAUAAGUGAAACCAAAAGAUGGAGGGAAAUGACCCAUGAAAUCUAUACCCCAAACAUCAAAGAUUUCAACACUAAAAAUGGGGGUUUGCGGCAUUUGUUGUUUAGGACCAAUAUUGCCCGUUCUUUGGCAUCUAUCACAAGACAUGCAAAAUGUUCUAGCAUCCCUAAAGAUGGUAGGCCAAUAGAAACCACAUUCUAACACCUUAAGUGCUGUUCUUUGAGUGCCAAAGUGUCCCCCACAAGCAUAAGUGUGACAAAAGGUUAGAAUUGCAUUAAACUCAGAAUCGUGUACACACCUACGUAUAACUUGGUCAGGGCAAUAUUUCCAUAAAUACGGGUCAUCCCACACAUAAAACCGUGCCUCUUUCUUCAAUUUAUCACAUUGGUGUUUAAGUAAUUCACUAGGAACAUGUUUAGACACCAAAUAAUUCACCAAAUCAGCAUACCACGGUUCACUUACCUUGACGGACAUCAGUUGCUCAUCUGGGAAUGUCUCUAUGAUAGGCACGACAUCCUCCUCAUGCACCAUACGGCUCAAGUGGUCAGCCACCACGUUUUCACUUCCCUUCUUAUCCCGGAUUUCGAUAUCGAACUCUUGGAGAAGAAGCAUCCAACGAAUAAGUCGUGGUUUGGCUUCCUUCUUGGUGAAUAAAUACUUCAAUGCUGCAUGGUCAGUAUAAAUAAUAACUUUAGUACCAAGCAAAUAAGAACGGAAUUUAUCUAAAGCAAAUACAACAGCAAGAAGUUCUUUUUUUCAGUGGUAGAAUAAUUCAAUUGUGCAUCAUUUAAAGUCCGAGAGGCAUAAUAGAUAACAUGCGGCCUCUUUCCUUCCUUUGCCCCAAAACAGCUCCUAAUGCAUAAUCGGAAGCAUCACACAUAAGCUCAAAAGGAAAGCUCCAAUCUGGGUGGAACUAUGAUAGGGGCCGAAGUUAGCAUUUCUUUUAGGUGAUUGAACGCCUUCUCACACUUCUCGUUGAAGUCAAACGCCACAUCUUUUUGGAGGAGACGGCAAAGAGGGUUUGAGAUCUUGGAGAAGUCCUUGAUAAAUCGCCUAUAAAAUCCUGCAUGACCAAGAAACGAACGAAUCUCUCGAACCGAAGUAGGAGAGGGUAAGUAGCGUAUAAGAUCUAUUUUCGAUUUAUCCACUUCAAUUCCUCUUUCUGAAACAAUAUGCCCUAGAACUAUGCCUUGUCUAACCAUAAAGUGACAUUUUUCCCAAUUAAGCACAAGGUUAGUUUCUACACAUCGUUUCAAAAUUAUUGUGAGAUUUUCCAAACAACCAUCAAAUGAAUCACCAAACACACUGAAAUCAUCCAUAAAUACCUCAAUAAUCUUUUCCACAAAAUCUGAAAAGAUACUUACCAUACACCUUUGAAACGUGGCCGGAGCAUUGCAUAAACCAAAAGGCAUGCGACGAUAAGCAAAAGUACCAAAGGGGCAUGUGAAAGUUGUCUUUUCUUGGUCAUCCGGCGCUAUGACAAUCUGAUUAUAUCCAGAAUAACCAUCAAGGAAACAAUAAAAAGAAUGACCGGCUAACCUUUCAAGCAUUUGAUCAAUGAACGGCAAAGGGAAGUGGUCCUUCCUUGUGGUGGCGUUGAGCUUCCUAUAAUAAUCAAUGCACACUCUCCAACCUGUUUGGAUACGGGUUGGCACAAGCUCAUUCUCGGCAUUUUUCACCACUGUCACUCCGGACUUCUUUGGAACACAUUGCACCGGUGAUACCCAACGACUAUCAGAGAUCGGAUAAAUUACUCCACAAUCAAGAAGUUUGAUAAUCUCCUUUUUCACAACUUCCAUCAUUGGAGGGUUGAGACGGCGCUGAGCCUCUCGAGUUGGUUUUAGCCCCCUCCUCUAGAAGUAUGCGAUGCAUGCACGUAGUCGGGCUAAUUCCCCUAAUAUCGGCCAAAGUCCACCCAAUGGCCGUCUUGUGCUCUUUCAACACUCGGAUCAACUUCUCCUCCUCUAUGGCCGUGAGUGAUGAGGAGACAAUGACGGGCAAUGUCUCGUUAUCUCCCAGAAAGGCGUACUUUAAAUGAUCGGGCAACGGUUUAAGCUCAAGUACGGGUGCCUGAGUUACUGAGGGUAACAACUUAUUAGUGGAGACUGAAAUUGAAAUUGGGUUAGAAGGCUUACCAUGAUAUUGAGGUAGUGACUCAAGGGCAGCCACUAUCUCGGCCUCCUCCACACUUCUAGGCACGGCAAAACCAGAUUUUUUGCCCAAUUCCUUGUGCAAUUGUUGUUUCAAGUGUAUCCCUCUCCAAACAAUCGAGAAAAUCCUGCGCCAAAUCAUCAAUUAUAUCAAUAGAAAAGCAAGAAUGAUCGUCCUUAGGAAAUUUAAUACUUUCAGAAAGAUUGAAAUCAAUGACUUCCCCAUCAAAUUCCAUCGUUAAAGUUCCUUUAAACACAUCUAUCUUGGUGCGGGCUGUUUUCAUGAAGGGCCUCCCUAAUAGAAUCGGCAAUGGGGUGGAAUGGGGUGAAUCUUCCAUGUCAAGCACGUAGAAAUCCGCUGGAAAAAUCAAGACACCAACCUGCACCAAAACAUCUUCCAAAACACCCUUUGGAUAUGCAUUAGAACGAUCGGCUAAUUGAAUUAUCACACCAUCAUUUUUAAGCUCACCUAAGUUCAUAGAUGCAUAAAUAGAGUAUGGCAUAACAUUAAUUGAAGCCCCUAAGUCUAACAUGCAUUGUUCAAACUUAGUAUUACCAAUAACGCACGGAAUUGUAAAACUACCCGGAUCUUUGCAUUUAGGGGGUAAUUUCCUUUGUAACACGGCAGAGACAUUUUCACUUACUUGAACCACCUCUUUGUUCGAAAUCCUUCUCCUUGUUGUACAAAGUUCUUUUAAAAACUUAGCAUACCUCGGGACUUGCUUAAUCGCAUCAAGGAGCGGGAUAUUGACUUGAACUUUCCGAAAGGUCUCUAGAAUGUCCUUCUCAGCUUCUUCCUUCUUUGAUUGCCUAAACCUGCCAGGAAAGGGCACAUUUAGUGGAAUAGAACUAGAAAAAGUUGAAUUGGGACUUACCUUGGUGGUUUGGGAUGGUUUAGGAGGACUAGAUGAAUUCGGCAAGGUUUGGUCAUCCUUGGCCUUGGGCUUUUCUCCCUGUGCUUCUUCUUGCAGCAACUUGUCCUCCUCGUCUUGACUUGAUUUGGAUGUAUUUGAGUCCGUUCCAACCUGUUUACCACUUUUUAACAUGAUGGCCUUAGCGGUUUCAAAUCCUCCCUUCGGGUUCAUAACGGUUGAACUAGGCAAUCUGCCUUGUUCUCUAAUUUUGCCCCAUAAAUUCUGCAAUUUGACCCAUUUGCUUCUCCAAUUGUCCACCCGUUUGUCUUGGAUUUGUCUCUCCUUAUUUUGAGUUUGUACUUCCUGCGUCAAAGUAGUAAGUAACUUAACAAUGUGAUCAUUAUCCAAAGACAUACCUGAGGUUGUUGGGGCAGAUUGCACUUGGUUUUGAUUGGGGACGAAUGGCUUUGUAUAAAAGCCCGGUGGUUGCUGCCUAAAUCCUCCUUGUUGUUGGGGUUGUUGAGGAUCCCGCCAUUUGAAAUUUGGAUGGUCUCUCCACCCCGGAUUGUAGGUAUUAGAGUAUGGAUCAUGGCGUGGUUGAUUUUGGUUCCCAAAACCCACGGCAUUGGCAGAUUCCCAACCCCCAUUCUCAAUCAAUUGAGGGCAUUGAUCAUUUGCAUGUCCUUGCAUAGAGCACACGCCACACACACUUGGUCCAUGAAUCUUCAUUCCCUCGGCCAACUAAGAAACAAUAGAAGUAAGGUUAGCUAAUUGGGAUUGAAUUUCGGGCAUAGAACUUACCUCAUUCACUUGUGGCCGUGGGUGGUCUCUUUGUCCAACACCUUCGUAUUGUUGUGCAUUAUGUGCUCGGUUGGCAAUUAGAACUUUUGCAUCCCCCGGAGUUUUAUCCACCAGCGCACCUCCCGCCGAGGCAUCAAGCAUUUGGCGUUCCAUGGGAAGGAGUCCUUCGUAGAAGUAUUGAAUGAGCAGCUCCUCCUUCAUUUGAUGUUGUGGACAAGAAGCAACAAGUGAUUUAAAACGUUCAUAAUAAGAAGGAAACGAUUCACCUUGAUUUUGUUGGAUGCCACUAAUCCGUUUCCUCAAGAGAAUGACUCUUGAAGUUGGGAAAAACUUCUCCAAGAAAGCUCUUUUCAUACUAUCCCAAGAUGUAACCGUUCCGGGUGCUAACUCGUAAAGCCAAUCCUUCGCCUUUUCCAAAAAUGAGAAUGGAAAAGCCUUCAUCAUCAGAAAUGUUCCCGUCGACAUUUAUGGGUGUCAUGCUCGAACAAACAACCUCGAAUUCCUUGAGAUGCUUGUUUGGCUCUUCCAUGGAAAGCCCAUGGUAUUUCGGAAUGUGGUGCAACAAGCUUGACUUCAACUCGAAUUCAUCGGUCUUGCCUUGGGCAGCCGCGGGGUAUUGAAUGCAUAAUGGUGCGGCAUUUGGUCAACCCCGAGGCCGAAAGCUCUUUAAUGGUCCGAUUGUCCGCUGCCAUAACUUCUUCUCUUUUCUCUUCUUCAAACUCAGAUUCGGCCUCUGAACUUGAACUAGGUUCACUAGGUUCGGGAUGCCUCCUCUUUCUUCUCAAAUCACGUUCAAAAUCGUUGUUAAAGUCCAAGAUAUGCACAGUUUGAGAACUCCGCGUCAUGCAUUAGUACCUAAACCAAGAAAACAAAAACAAAAUAAGAAACUAGGUAAAUUACACUAAAAAACACACGGCAAAAAACACAAGGGAUUAGCAAUUUGCUAAUCCCCGGCAACGGCGCCAAAAUUUGAUGUGAGAAUUACUUGACACACAAAUUAAACCCUAUUGAUGACAAUUGUAGUAAUGAUGCAAGUAGGGAUCGUUCUAGACCGGGGAUUAACUAGGGGAUGCUAAUCAACAAAUAUAAGACUCAAGAAUAUAAGAAGAAACUUAAAAACACAAAAGUAGGUUUUAAAACACUAAACUAGACUCAAAAGAGUUCAAAACACUUUAAGGCACAAACUAAACAAACUUAAACACACUUCGAUACAAGAAAGUAAAUGGGAGGUAUUGGUUUGGAUGAGAUUGAGAUAACAACAAAAAGUAAAACUAAAUAGAUGGUUGAUGGAUUAGCUAGAGAUCCAUUCUUCACACAUGACACACUUGUACAUGAAUUGAUUUCCAGUUGCUUUUCAAUAAAUUAUGAAACUCAACACCCCAGAUUAACCGUGAUGCACUAAUUAAUUCUCAGAUUUUCCUUGAUUUUAUUGAAUUGGAUGAAUGCAUUACGACAAUCCAAAUUAUUCUCCAAAAGUCCUCUACAUGAAUGCAUAAUAGAGAUACAAUUAAAGAUCAUUACGUUCUAUGAAAAUCAUAAGUGUUAACGAGGCAUUCGUAACUAUGAAUGCAUGAUACGUUUGCCAAGAAUUCAAUUAACGCGAUUGUGACUAGCAACCUUCACUACCAAUGAAUAUAAACUUGUAACGAUUAGGUGAAACUCAUUUAUAUCCUAGCAUCAAAUUCAUGCAUGAAAACUAAGUAUGCAUCCUUAAUCAACAUACAAGAAUUAGUUUUGAAGAAAGUAGUUAAUUGAAUUGCAUUCACAACUUAUUAAAUCACAAUUGGAAGAAAUCAAUUCAUAUCUCAAACAUGUUCAUGGCUUCGAACUUCACCCUAGCUAAGUAAGGGUUUAGUUCCUCAUACUUGCAAUUAAACAAAAACAAUUGAUAUUAAACAUAGAGAAACAAAGUAGAAGACACCUAGAAUGCUCCAACAACUCCAAUGGAAUGGCUAGCACAACUCCAAGCACUCCUCCUCUUCUUUGCAAGCCUUGGAACUAAUGGAAAUGUGUAUGAAUGGCUGUGUGUCAUCCUUGAAGGCUGAAUGGUGCUUAUAUAGAGGUUGGAAAUGUCAAGCAAUUGCAAGGUAAUGGACAAGGGAAAAAAACCCACGGCAAUGAAGGAAGAUGCUGCCAGCUUUUUGCCUUGUGUGUGUGUGCUGUCUUUGUGCUCUUUCCACCUAGAAAUAAUCAUGCCAAAGCCACCCAAAGCUAUAAGUGGGAGACCAACAAGAAAUCCACUUCAUAGUGGUCCAAUUUCCUUGCUUUUCUGCUGUCCAUUCACUCCCCUUGUUUUAUUUUCUUUUCUUUUGUUUGCUUUCAAUUCCAAUCUGCAAGUUGUCGUCAGCUAGACCUUCCCUUACUCAAAUGCCUAUAACUUCUUCUAGAAAAAUGAUAUUAACAAUCCGCGAAAUGUUCUAGAAAAUAGACAUCUGUAGCUUUCCAAGCAUAUAAGGCUCAUUCUCUAAUUCAUUCUGAGCUGUUCGCAAUUUGCUCCCAAAGUCAGCUGAUCAAAGUUGUAGAAAUCUGCCAACUCCAUUCCAUUGCCGUGUGUGUGUUGUUUGUGUUGUCAUCAUCACUUCCCACUCUUCCAUGCUUUAAUUUCUGAUUCCUUGCUGCCCAUGUGGUGUGUGUGUUGCUGUUUUCUUUCCUUCUUGCUGCCCAUGUGGUGUUUAUACUUGCACAUGCAUGUUCUUCAUCCAUUUAGCUAGCAAUAAACACAUUUUCUGCCAUCACAUGGCAGCUAUGAUGUUUGAAGUUGUAGGCCAACACUUUGCACACACACAUGUAGAUUUCUAGCCCAUUG